UACAGAGGGUGCGAGCGUUGUCCGGAAUCACUGGGCGUAAGGGUGCGUAGGUGGCUUGGUAAGCGUGUGGUGAAAGUCCGGGGCUCAACCCCGGAUCUGCCGUGCGAACUGCUGAGCUCGAGCAAUGUAGAGGCAGGUGGAAUUUCGGGUGUAGCGGUGGAAGGCGUAGAGAGCCGAAAGAACACCAGUGGCGAAGGCGGCCUGCUGGGCAGUUGCGGACACUGAGGCACGACAGCGUGGGGAGCAAACAGG
rnacentral:rRNA from 1 species